UCUACUACCAUGUCUUUGUGAUAAGAAGAGUGUGUGUGAGUGAGGCAGUCCACUCCAACCAGAAGAAGAACAGAGCAAAAAAAAAAACAAUGGCAGUAUGUGCAACCGCAACAACUGCAGCACUGACAUCCAUUGCCAAUGCCAAUUCAAGCACCACCAAGAAACUCCCUCAACUUCAGCUUCGUACUUUUAAACCAACUUCUUCCAAAUUAAACCCAAUUCCUAACAGAAUUGAUAAGGAAACAUCAACAACAAGAAGCAUUUCCGGGAGGCGAAAAGUACUAGAAAUGGGAAUUAUUGGUGUCAUGGCAGCUUCUUCCAUGUUCUUUGGGUUUCCAACAGAAGCAGAUGCUCUAAGAGUAGAAUACUAUGCCACUACUGCUGAGCCUUCUUGUGAACUCAAUUUAGUUCGUUCUGGUUUAGGUUACUGUGAUCUCGUUGUUGGUUCUGGUGUUCCUGCCCCUUAUAACACCCUUAUCAAUGUGCACUACACUGCUAGGUUUAGUGAUGAGACUGUUUUUGAUAGCAGCUAUAAACGCGGUAGACCUCUCACUAUGCGCAUUGGUGUAGGCAAAGUCAUAAAAGGAUUGGAUCAAGGGAUUUUUGGUGGUGAUGGGGUACCCCCUAUGCAAGUUGGUGGGAAACGUAAGCUUCGUAUUCCUCCCCAUCUAGGAUAUGGACCAGAACCAGCUGGUUGUUUUUCAGGUGAUUGCAACGUACCAGCCAACGCAACUCUGCUAUAUGACGUUACUUUCAUGGGUGUUUACUCCGGGAAUAGGGCGAGAUGAACACAAUCAUACUCGGUGCUCAUAUAAUGGACCUUGUGAGAACAUUGUCCAAACUAACAGGUACUUGAACAGCAUGGGAGACACCAGAUAGGCACUCCUAGCAGAUGACUGCAAAACAUAGUUCAAGAAUCAUCAUGCAUGACUUUAACUAGUCAUGCGAUGCAGAUAAGCUGUAAAGAAGGUUUUACUUUUUGCUUCUUUCAAAAUAGAGCAGUGAGUCCUCUCGAAUCCCACUGCAGCAAAACAUUCAUUAGGGCCUGCUGAGAGUUUGGAAUUUCCUUGUUAAUCCACCUCUCUAUGUUACUUCAGAUUAUACUGAAUAGUACUAAUAAUAAGAUGUCAGGAUUAAUUUCAUUUUCUCUGCUGCUGUGUAAAGUGUAUAAAAGAUACAGUAAGUACAUGUUUAUAGAAAGUACACAUGAAUUGUUAUACUGUGAA